UAGGUAAUCUUCCCUUGAGAUGGGAAUAACCUUCCGAAAGGAGGGCUAAUACCAAAUAAGACCACGGUAACCCCGGUUACUGAGGUAAAAGGAGGCCUCUACUUGUAAGCUAUCGCUUAAGGAUGAGCCUAUGCAGCAUCAGCUAGUUGGUAAGGUAACGGCUUACCAAGGCUUUGACGCUUAACUGAUCUGAGAGGUUGAUCAGUCACACUGGAACUGAGACACGGUCCAG
rnacentral:rRNA from 1 species